rnacentral:rRNA from 1 species
UACGAAGGUCCCAGGCGUUGUCCGGAAUCAUUGGGCGUAAAGCGCGUGUAGGCGGUCCGGUAAGUCGGUUGUGAAAGCCCAGGGCUCAACCCUGGGAUGCCGACCGAUACUGUCGGACUAGAGUUCGGAAGAGGCGAGUGGAAUUCCCGGUGUAGCGGUGAAAUGCGCAGAUAUCGGGAGGAACACCAAUGGCGAAGGCAGCUCGCUGGGACGUUACUGACGCUGAGACGCGAAAGCGUGGGGAGCAAACAGG